rnacentral:snoRNA from 1 species
UGGAUCAGUGAUGACCACUGAUGGCAUAUGAGUCAUAUAUGAUGAAUGUGUCUGGAACAUGGUCCAA